rnacentral:rRNA from 1 species
GACGAACGCUGGCGGCGCGCCUAACACAUGCAAGUCGAACGAGCGAGAGAGAGCUUGCUUUCUCGAGCGAGUGGCGAACGGGUGAGUAACGCGUGAGGAACCUGCCUCAAAGAGGGGGACAACAGUUGGAAACGACUGCUAAUACCGCAUAAGCCCACGACCCGGCAUCGGGUAGAGGGAAAAGGAGCAAUCCGCUUUGAGAUGGCCUCGCGUCCGAUUAGCUAGUUGGUGAGGUAACGGCCCACCAAGGCGACGAUCGGUAGCCGGACUGAGAGGUUGAACGGCCACAUUGGGACUGAGACACGGCCCAGACUCCUACGGGAGGCAGCAGUGGGGAAUAUUGCACAAUGGGGGGAACCCUGAUGCAGCGACGCCGCGUGGAGGAAGAAGGUCUUCGGAUUGUAAACUCCUGUUGUUGAGGAAGAUAAUGACGGUACUCAACAAGGAAGUGACGGCUAACUACGUG